GAGAUGUGUUUAGCCUGAGGCAGAGCUCAGAAAGCACAAUGGUUUUUCAAGGUCAAAUUCUCACCUUCUUGCUUCUCAGUGUCACAGUGUCCAAUGGAAAAAUUGUGCUCACCCAGUCUCCAGCAACCAUGCCUGCUUCCCCAGGAGAGAAGGUCACCAUCACCUGCACAGCCAGCUCCAGUGUAAGCACUAGCAGAUUGCACUGGUACCAACAAAAGCCAGGAGCCUCUCCCAAGCUCCUAAUUUAUGAAACAUCAAACCUGGCCUCGGGAGUCCCAGCUCGCUUCAGUGGAAGUGGGUCAAGGACUUCUUUCUCUCUCACAAUCAGCAACGUGGAGGCUGAAGAUUUUGCAACUUAUUACUGUCAGCAGUGGGAGAGUGAUCCACCCACAGUGAUACAGACUACAACAAAAACCCCAUCAGCCCCCCAGGCCCAGCUGCUUCUUCUGCAGAGUCUAUGA